rnacentral:rRNA from 1 species
UACGUAGGUGGCGAGCGUUACUCGGAAUUACUAGGCGUAAAGCGCGUGUAGGCGGGAGGUUAAGUUCGCUGUUAAAUCUCAUAGCUCAACUAUGAAAUGCCGGCGAAUACUGGCCUUCUUGAAUUCGGUAGAGGAAACUGGAAUUCCAGGUGUAGCGGUGAAAUGCGUAGAUAUCUGGAAGAACGCCAAAGGCGAAGGCAGGUUUCUGGGCCGCAAUUGACGCUGAGACGCGAAAGCUAGGGGAGCAAACAGGAUUAGAUACCCCAGUAGU